rnacentral:rRNA from 1 species
GACGAACGCUGGCGGCGUGCUUAACACAUGCAAGUCGAACGGAAAGGCCCUGCUUUUGUGGGGUGCUCGAGUGGCGAACGGGUGAGUAACACGUGAGUAACCUGCCCUUGACUUUGGGAUAACUUCAGGAAACUGGGGCUAAUACCGGAUAGGAUCUCCUGCUGCAUGGUGGGGGUUGGAAAGUUUCGGCCGUUGGGGAUGGACUCGCGGCUUAUCAGCUUGUUGGUGGGGUAGUGGCUUACCAAGGCUUUGACGGGUAGCCGGCCUGAGAGGGUGACCGGCCACAUUGGGACUGAGAUACGGAGCAGACUCCUACGGGCGGCAGCAGUGGGGAAUCUUGCACAGUGGGCGGAAGCCUGAUGCAGCAACGCCGCGUGCGGGAUGACGGCCUUCGGGUUGUAAACCGCUUUCGACUGUGACGAAGAGUGAGUGACGGUAAUGGGUAAAGAAGCACCGGCUAACUACGUG